GACGAACGCUGGCGGCGUGCUUAACACAUGCAAGUCGAACGGAAAGGCCCUGCUUUUGUGGGGUUCCCGAGUGGCGAACGGGUGAGUAACACGUGAGUAACCUGCCCUUGACUUUGGGAUAACUUCAGGAAACUGGGGCUAAUACCGUAUAGGAGCUCCUGCUGCAUGGUGGGGGUUGGAAAGUUUCGGCGGGUGGGGAUGGACUCGCGGCUGAUCAGCUUGCUGGUGGGGUAGUGGCUGACCAAGGCUUUGACGGGUAGCCGGCCUGAGAGGGUGACCGGCCACAUUGGGCCUGAGGUACGGCCCAGACUCCUACGGGAGGCAGUGGUGGGGAAUAUUGCACAAUGGGCGCAAGCCUGAUGCAGCAGCGCCGCGGGCGGGAUGACGGCCUUCUGGUUGUAAACCGCUUUCGCCUGUGACGAAGCGUGAGUGACGGUAAUGAGUAAAGAAGCACCGGCUAACUACGUG
rnacentral:rRNA from 1 species